AGGUCGCAGUUGUAAAUCGCUCUGGAUAAGAGCGUCUGCUAAAUGACGUAAA
rfam:Salmo salar isolate Sally breed double haploid chromosome ssa12, whole genome shotgun sequence.